GUCGAGAAUCUUUCACAAUGGGGGCAACCCUGAUGGAGCGACGCCGCGUGGAGGAUAAGGUCUUCGGAUUGUAAACUCCUGUCAUGCGUGAACAAGGUUGCUUGGUUAAUACCUGGGCAAAUUGAUGGUAACGCAAGAGGAAGAGACGGCUAACUCUGUGCCAGCAGCCGCGGUAAUACAGAGGUCUCAAGCGUUGUUCGGAAUCACUGGGCGUAAAGGGUGCGUAGGUGGCGUGGUUAGUCAGAUGUGAAAGCCCGGGGCUCAACCUCGGAACUGCAUCCGAUACUGCCAUGCUAGAGUACUGGAGAAGUGACUAGAAUUCUCGGUGUAGCAGUGAAAUGCGUAGAUAUCGAGAGGAAUACCAAAGGCGUAGGCAGGUCACUGGACAGUUACUGACACUGAGGCACGAAGGCCAGGGGAGCGAACGGGAUUAGAUACCCUUGUAGUCC
rnacentral:rRNA from 1 species